GGUUAAGCGACUAAGCGUACACGGUGGAUGCCCUGGCAGUCAGAGGCGAUGAAGGACGUGCUAAUCUGCGAUAAGCGUCGGUAAGGUGAUAUGAACCGUUAUAACCGGCGAUUUCCGAAUGGGGAAACCCAGUGUGAUUCGUCACACUAUCAUUAACUGAAUCCAUAGGUUAAUGAGGCGAACCGGGGGAACUGAAACAUCUAAGUACCCCGAGGAAAAGAAAUCAACCGAGAUUCCCCCAGUAGCGGCGAGCGAACGGGGAGCAGCCCAGAGCCUGAAUCAGUGUGUGUGUUAGUGGAAGCGUCUGGAAAGGCGCGCGAUACAGGGUGACAGCCCCGUACACAAAAAUGCACAUGCUGUGAGCUCGAUGAGUAGGGCGGGACACGUGGUAUCCUGUCUGAAUAUGGGGGGACCAUCCUCCAAGGCUAAAUACUCCUGACUGACCGAUAGUGAACCAGUACCGUGAGGGAAAGGCGAAAAGAACCCCGGCGAGGGGAGUGAAAAAGAACCUGAAACCGUGUACGUACAAGCAGUGGGAGCACGCUUAGGCGUGUGACUGCGUACCUUUUGUAUAAUGGGUCAGCGACUUAUAUUCUGUAGCAAGGUUAACCGAAUAGGGGAGCCGAAGGGAAACCGAGUCUUAACUGGGCGUUAAGUUGCAGGGUAUAGACCCGAAACCCGGUGAUCUAGCCAUGGGCAGGUUGAAGGUUGGGUAACACUAACUGGAGGACCGAACCGACUAAUGUUGAAAAAUUAGCGGAUGACUUGUGGCUGGGGGUGAAAGGCCAAUCAAACCGGGAGAUAGCUGGUUCUCCCCGAAAGCUAUUUAGGUAGCGCCUCGUGAAUUCAUCUCCGGGGGUAG
rnacentral:rRNA from 1 species